rnacentral:lncRNA from 1 species
AACUCUGGACAGAAAUAAAAACAUAAAAGCUUCAUAUUACAAGCCAGGGGCCUCGAGGGCUAGAAUACAGAAGCUCGAGAAAUACACGAGUCAACGGAAGCAACAAAUAUCUGAGUACAGACAUAAAACAAGGAUAAUGCCUUAGAGAAGGCUAGCACAAAAGAUACAACGAUCUAAUGAGGCGAGGCCUCCUGCGUGGGAACCUCCUAAACUACUCCUGGUCGUCAGCAUCCUCCACGUAGUAGUAGGCACCGUCGGGGUAGCAG